GAGUGGAUCCUGAGUACGACGGAGCACGUGAAAUUCCGUCGGAAUCUGGGAGGACCAUCUCCUAAGGCUAAAUACUCUCUAGUGACCGAUAGUGAACCAGUACCGUGAGGGAAAGGUGAAAAGCACCCCGGAAGGGGAGUGAAAUAGAACCUGAAACCGUGUGCUUACAAGUAGUCAGAGCCCGUUAAUGGGUGAUGGCGUGCCUUUUGUAGAAUGAACCGGCGAGUUACGAUUUGAUGCAAGGUUAAGCAGUAAAUGUGGAGCCGUAGCGAAAGCGAGUCUGAAUAGGGCGUUUAGUAUUUGGUCGUAGACCCGAAACCAGGUGAUCUACCCUUGGUCAGGUUGAAGUUCAGGUAACACUGAAUGGAGGACCGAACCGACUUACGUUGAAAAGUGAGCGGAUGAACUG
rnacentral:rRNA from 1 species